rnacentral:rRNA from 1 species
GACGAACGCUGGCGGCGUGCCUAACACAUGCAAGUCGAACGAGGCAACCGUAACAGGACGCUUAGGGGCGCGUAUAGAGUGGGAUAGUGGCGUACGGGUGAGUAACACGCGAGUAAAGGGGCGCUAACAUUGGGAUAGGCCUGCGAAACCGGGAUUAAUAGCAAAUAAAAUCAUAAGCACACAUGUAAUAACGAUGAAAAGUAUGAUGCUUUAAGAUGGACUCGCGUUAGAUUAGCUAGUUGGUAGAGUAAAAGCCUACCAAGGCGACGAUGGAUAGCUGGCCUGAGAGGGUGAUCGGCCACACUGGAACUGAGACACGGUCCAGACUCCUACGGGAGGUAGCAGUGGGGAAUAUUGGACAAUGGGCGGAAGUCUGAUCCAGCGAUGCCGCGUGAGUGAUGAAGGCUUUAGAGUUGUAAAGUUCUUUUACCCGGGAUGAUAAUGACAGUACCAUGAGAAUAAGCUCCGGCUAACUCCGUG